ACUUGCUUUCUUUGCUGGCGACCGGCGCACGGGUGAGUAACACGUAUCCAACCUGCCCUUUACUCGGGGAUAGCCUUUCGAAAGAAGGAUUAAUACCCGAUAGCAUAAUGGUUCCGCAUGGUUUCAUUAUUAAAGGAUUCCGGUAAAGGAUGGGGAUGCGUUCCAUUAGGUUGUUGGUGGGGUAACGGCCCACCAAGCCUUCGAUGGAUAGGGGUUCUGAGAGGAAGGUCCCCCACAUUGGAACUGAGACACGGUCCAA
rnacentral:rRNA from 1 species